rnacentral:rRNA from 1 species
CCUACGGGGGGCUGCAGUGAGGAAUAUUGGUCAAUGGGAGAGAUCCUGAACCAGCCAAGCCGCGUGAGGGAAGACGGCCCUAUGGGUUGUAAACCUCUUUUGUCGGAGAACAAAACCCGGGACGUGUCCCGGACUGCGUGUAUCCGAAGAAAAAGCAUCGGCUAACUCCGUGCCAGCAGCCGCGGUAAUACGGAGGAUGCGAGCGUUAUCCGGAUUUAUUGGGUUUAAAGGGUGCGUAGGCGGUCCGUUAAGUCAGCGGGAAAAUUGCGGGGCUAAACCCCGUCGAGCCGUUGAAACUGGCAGACUUGAGUUGACGAGAAGUACGCGGAAGGCGCGGUGUAGCGGUGAAAUGCAUAGAUAUCGCGCAGAACUCCGAUUGCGAAGGCAGCGUACCGGCGCCAGACUGACGCUGAGGCACGAAAGCGUGGGGAUCGAACAGGAUUAGAUACCCCGGUAGUC